AAGCCAGUGGUGAACUCCACAUACGCAUCCUUUGCUGAGGAUACGGUUAACGGAGCGAAAGCGACGUUCAACCUCAAAAGAAGCAGAGGGGGCUUAGUGGUGGGGUGACUGCGUACCUUUUGUAUAAUGGGUCAGCGACUUAUAUUCUGUAGCAAGGUUAACCGAAUAGGGGAGCCGGAGGGAAACCGAGUCUUAAUUGGGCGUUAAGUUGCAGGGUAUAGACCCGAAACCCGGUGAUCUAGCCAUGGGCAGGUUGAAGGUUGGGUAACACUAACUGGAGGACCGAACCGACUAAUGUUGAAAAAUUAGCGGAUGACCUGUGGCUGGGGGUGAAAGGCCAAUCAAACCGGGAGAUAGCUGGUUCUCCCCGAAAGCUAUUUAGGUAGCGCCUCGUGAAUUCAUCUCCGGGGGUAGAGCACUGUUUCGGCUAGGGGGCCAUCCCGGCUUACCAACCCGAUGCAAACUGCGAAUACCGGAGAAUGUUAUCACGGGAGACACACGGCGGGUGCUAACGUCCGUCGUGAAGAGGGAAACAACCCAGACCGCCAGCUAAGGUCCCAAAGUCAUGGUUAAGUGGGAAACGAUGUGGGAAGGCCCAGACAGCCAGGAUGUUGGCUUAGAAGCAGCCAUCAUUUAAAGAAAGCGUAAUAGCUCACUGGUCGAGUCGGCCUGCGCGGAAGAUGUAACGGGGCUAAACCAUGCACCGAAGCUGCGGCAGCGAACGUAUC
rnacentral:rRNA from 1 species